GGGGCUUUAAACAAAUCUUACAUCUCUCCUGUUUCAGUCGUCUAAAACUCCGCAAUCAGGCACACGGUCGACUCCAUCUAAAACCAAAGCUUUUUAAGAAGAUUUUUUCGGCUUUUGAGAGGAAAUGUGCUGUUACAUUUGGAGAAUUCAGGCGUCAGACCAAACCGCUUCUCUGUGUGCUCGGUUUGACAGACAUGCGUAAUGGGCACCCGCGCUUCCAAAGCUGAGAAUUUACAGACACAUCCUGCGCUUUCAGGUACCUCUUUCUCUCUUUUUUGGUUAAUGAACUCAGGCGAUUCCGCAAGCAUCCCGAGGGACCGGAGAGGGAAUGUUUUCCUUUCGGUAAAAGGUGUGGGCAAUCUCUCCCCAACUCUCGACUUAUCUUUGGGCUAAUUAGGCGGGGCCCUGAAGACGAAGGCAUGAAUAUUCAUGUAAAAGCACCGGCGCGCAAUUAGCCACGGAAAGAGUUCCUAACUUCAAUCGCUGGCCAGUGCGAAGAGACAGGGAUAUUCUUCUGCGCAGCAAGACAGCCGAGGUGUCGCACUAAGUCGUGUUUAAAGUGUGUAAGAAAUAUAAAAAGACCAACCUGACAUUUUUGCUAAUUCUAUUCGCAGAUGGUACUUUUUUAAUGGAUGGCAACCUUAUUUAUAAUUUAAAGACUACCCAGUACCCACAGUCAGUUUUUCCAUUUGAUGAACAGCAUUUCUGAGAAUUUUGGAUAGCCAGGGUCAGAAGUAUUCCAUAGAAGGUUCGGAGAAACCUGUCGUCGAAAGUUUUAAAUUGAAAGCAUGCAGGACUCUUUGACACUACAUUUAAAUGCUUUAAUUUAUAUGACUUUCAGAUGUUUUGAGAUGAUGGAUCCCCAUCAUCCAUUAAGUGUUGGUCAUCGCCUUCUAAUUCUUAUGCUCACUUAGCUUGUGGAUUCAUGUUUCCAAAAUCAAUAAUACUAUUUAAGUUUUUCUGUGGGUCUCUGCAAUCUCCCUUUCUUUUAUCUCUUUCUCUCUUUCUUUGUCUUUUGCUCUCUUUUACACACAUACACAAAGUUAGGGGCCUUAACCUGUGUUGCUGUCCAUACUGUGCUUUAAGGCCUCAAUCCUUGCUUUGAAUUGAUGGCGAUCUAUAUCUUGUCCCCUUCCGGGUGUGCGCUUGCCACUUGCUUCCAUAAAGAUGCAUUUAUGUAUGUAUGUAUGGAGGUGAACAGGGAGCUUUUUGCAGGGGGGCUUGUGAGAUAAGCAGUGGAAUUUGUGCCGUUUGAAUAUGGAUGGCAGCCAGACCGUUGGUAAGCAGCUGAUAGAGUGGUAAACAGCUUGUGGGCUGAAGGGGUUAGAAGCAUGCUCCUGAAUACAUUGGGCCUCUCUUCCACUGUCUGCAUGCACAAUGGUCAAUCAAAUCAACGUCACUUUCCCCCAAUCCCUGUGAUGCUGUGGGUCUGUAAUGUUGGACAAGCUGUCACUACAGUACACCCAUCCACUCACUUAUCAACUUCUGAAAUUAAUGGUCAGACUUGCUAGAUGAUUGCAAGGGCAAAUAUGUUCAGUCCAGCUUUUAUUUGAUAAUAAAUUAUAUAACCCUCUGCCUUCUGUAUACAUCAUAGACCGUUGCAUGUUUUGUUGUACAAAUUCUCAGCAAUUAAAUUGUUUUUGAUAUUCUGAUACAAUUUCUUUGUUUUAUUUAAAUGAUAUUUAUAACAGUUUAGCAUAACUUUCACUAAUAGUCAUUUAAAAAAACAAUGCUUAACACAGAUAGUUUACUACUGCAUACAGGCAGACAUAAAUAAUGGAAACAUAUGAUUCUUAAUUUCAUGACAUUUUUACCUGUUAGAAUACAUUAUCUAACAACUAUUACUACUACGUUCGAAAAUGUUUGAUGACCUAUUAACGAUAGUUUUUGUAAUAUUUAUAUUCUCGCCUUGAUGUUGAUUGAGCAUGAUCUUUCCUGACAGAACUAAUUGAGUUGAAAGUUUAUAAUAGAAAAUGUAGUCCAAACUAUAUAUAAGAGAUCCACAUGAUCAUACAAGUUUAAGAAAAUGUAAAGGCUUUAAGAUGUUUGUCCACAUCAGUAAAAUUUGACUUAAGUUUAUCUGAAGUUUACUUUCUAUGCAGCCAGAAUAUAAAGUAAGCAUGUUAUUAUUUUAGGAAUAACCAUGAUUAAAUCGGGACAUAUUUUUAUUGUGCGCUGUAGCAAUAAUGAAAUCACACAAAAUGUAUUCAGAAUAACCAUUUCCUUUACUUUCUGCUGGUAUCCAUACUUUUUAAAACCACAAAAUAUAUUUGAAUAGUUUGUUCUUCGACUUUUAAAAAAACUGAGUAUAGUGACUGUGAGUUGAAUAAGUGUUGAUAAAUUUGUUUUUCCUAUUCACACCUGUUUGCUUCUGUGUUCCAGCAUAAAUAGGUGUAUCAUUCCACAACAAUUUCUUUUCUUUCUUUCAUCAAACGUACCCAAGUAACAGUGAAACUGCUAGGAAUCAUAUGUAAAACAUUGAAUCAUUAUUCAGCCUAAAUAUUUAAUGAUUGAUUUGAUGAACCUUUGUGGAUUUCUUCAUGUAAACUGACUGCUGCGCUCGAGUAUUCUAAGAGCCGUGGUUCUUCCCCAGUGGCAUCCAGAAUGAGGCUGAUCCAGCAUAAAGCUGCAGAGUUCCACAUGUCACUGCUCACUCAAGAGAGCAUCCAGAGGCCCUGCUGAAGUUAUUAAUGAGUUGCUUCCUUUUAAUUAGAUAGUAAUUCAUGUUAAUGCAUGCCUAAUGAACCCAAAUCGUUCCCUUUGGUCAUUCUGCGGAGUUCCACUGUGUUUACUUAUUCUGUCUGUUUUCCCGCUUUUGUGUUUUAUUAGGCUCGGAGGGGCCUAAAAGGAUCCAGCAACUUGCUUUAGAGACAUCUGAAGAGUCCAGUUAAAGAGCCAGUAACAUUUGCUUGAGGGGUCGUUUGGGAAUGAAUUCCACCAAAAAGACUUGAGGAGGUCGUGACCAGGACUGAAGACGCUACAGUGCAGGUUUAGAAACAGAUGUCUCGGGAUCGCCACAGUAUGUUCACGCUGAACUUUUAACCACGAGUUUAUGUACAACAAGGAGGUCAGAUUCGUUUUUAUGUAUGUUUUGCAUGUACUGUUACAGUCUAAAAGAAGGCAUGGGUGUAUUUGACCCCACCAUAAAGUGAGACGGUGAUGGUAAAAGCCAGAAUGACCAGGCCAACUCGGGGUCACGACCAGACGCCGAGUGCUCCUGUCUCGCUGUCGUCUAUGGUCAAGCACUUGCCGGCAGGCUGAAUUAAAUUAGACUGCUGUUAAUUGAGGAUUGACCAGUCUGAGAGCAGCUGACGCUUGGGUCAGUCAAGAUAGCAAAGCCUGAAUCCCUCAGGCCCCGAUUGCAAUUUCAGCCCUGCAGGUCCUGGAAUGGGACGGGAGGGAGAGAACGCGAGGGCAUGCUGGGAAUGCACGGCUGCUGAUUAGCAAUAAGAGUUUAUAGGAAGGCUUAGAUGAGAUUUGGCUUGUUUGCUUGAGUGGAAAGUGUAGCAGCACAACAGGCCCACACACACACGGAGCGAAGAGGGGAGGUCUGUUCAACAUUGAUGUCAAAGUAGACUCGGAGUAAAUCGGUUCGCACCUCGCUGAAAAUCUCCUCAAUCGCCCAGUCAACACAAUUAAUCGCUUCAUUAAUUAACAAAUAUACCACCCCGACUGACUUUUGGCAACCGUGGGCCGUACAGCUAACCUUCCCCAAUCUCUCCUUUCUAUUCCUAAUUUGUUUUAUUUCACUCCUCCUCCCUAAUUCUCUUUAUCUCUUUUUUCUGCGCUGCUUUUCUCUGAACAGCGUCGCAAAAGCUGACUCCGCUGCUUUAACACGAGCAGGUCAGCACGCUCCGCUAACAUUUGUUAUCUGUAAUCCUGCAGGUCCCCGCACAAAAUGAGCGUAGUAAACUCUCGCAAAGCCCUAAUCUCACCAUUUCUUUCAGAUGCGCUUUUUCUAGCUUUCUGUUCUUUUUUAUGUAUGGGGUGGGAAAGCGGUUUUCAGAGGAGCCGUCUCUGAUUGCAGGGCUUAUUUUUGUGGUAUUCAGAAUUACAACAAAAUCACAAUCAAAAUCACAACCUCCUUUAUGACAAUUAAGCAGCGGUGGAUUAAGUUAUGCCCUAAAUAUUUACUCCAGGAAAAGUAAUAAGUACUCCUUUUUAAUUUUACUUGAGUAAAAAUGAAUAUCAUUUUACAAACGUACUUGAAUUUUAAUGUACUUAAUUAAACAUGUAAAAGUACUAGGAUUUGAAGAAGCAUGUUUAUGUGUUUCGCAGUUUCGUAUACUUUGUAUACUUGUAUUUUGACAUGGAUGGAGCUUAAAUGGGUUAAAGAACAGUCUGACGUUAUUCAUUUUCAUGAAAACAUUAAGGAAGCUUAGUGAAGGCAUACAUUUAAUUUACACUGAUCUGCAAAAACAAAAAAAUGUUUUAUUACCAAAACCUGUCACACUAUUAAAACAUUUAACCACAAACUAAAAUGUCAAUUCAAGUUACUCAUAAUUCAUAACGUAUUGAACAAGAUUUGAACAAUUUAGUCACUUAUUAACAGGAGACUCAGUCUAAAUGAAUCUUUAUAUCACUGAGUUGUUGACUCGAGACCUGAUAAAGCAUUGUUCACAAAUCAGACAACGCCGUAACGUCUUAAAGCAAGCAGUGCGUUUUGAGUUUAAAGUUAUGAGGAACAAUAUGUCUUUAUGAAACGCAGUAGAGCAAAACAUAUGAUAUAGCUUUCCAAAUAAAUACUCUGAUCAAGUGCAGAUAUUCAAAAAAUGUACUUGGGUACAAUAACAAAGUAAAAUACUUCCAAUUAAAAAGCUGUGAUUUAUUUUUCACUUACAAAUAUUGAUGAAUCAAAUCACAAAGCCAAGAUUUUGUCAAUUUGCUUUAUAGAUUUGGUGUGUGGUUUGCAGCUUCAGUGAAAAUGUCUUCAAUGUGUUUUUGAUUCAUCUUACUAUCAUAGAGUGAUAUGUAAUAGAAUUACUGUUUUCUUUCUCCAUCGGUCUCAAUUAUCCCCGCGCUGGUUUGAUUGAGUUCGAUACUAUGCAAAUGAUGUAUUUGAAUUCUCCCAUGCAGCUCUGGUGCAUUUUGUCUUGGUCAUGCACACCCACACAUGUAGCGAGCGUGGUGGUGUGUGUCUGUUUGUUGUCAUUGUGCGUGUGUGUGUGUAGUAUGGUGAGUAAUAGCAGAGUUCAGUGGAAGACUGUAGUGUUGACAGCAUAGUAAACGAUGCAGCCUGCCUACUGCAGCAGUAUCCCUGCUAAUCACACACACCACAUGAUAAUCAGAGCAACCCCAUCCUCACACACACGACUACAGCGUGAAAACACACACAAACACCCUCACACACACACUGACCCAUACUUCUACAGACAAAUGGAAGACAUAAUGGUAGCCGGAGGCAGUGCGCAUACUUCACUCUAUCUCUCUCAAACCAAGCACAUCUCUACCCUUCACACACACACGUCUGGUUUAUUAUCUCCGUGGGGACAGUCCAUAGGCGUAAUUUUUUUUAUACUGUACAAACUGUAUAUUUUAUCCCCUACCCCUAACCCACCCCCUAAACCUAACAAUCACAAAAAAAAUUCCUGCUCUUUUAGAUUUUCAAAAAAGUUAAUUCUGUAUGAUUUAUGAGCUUGUUUCCUCAUGGGGACAAAAAAAUGUCCCCACAAGGACAAGGGUUUUGGAUAUUGCCAUCUUUGUGGGGACAUUUUGUCCCCAUACUGUAGGGUUUACGCUUCCCACACACACACACACACACACACACACACGCGCACACACGCACACACGCACACACACUUGAUUUUAUAAAAACAGCUCACUGUCUGAAGAGUUGACUGAUAUCACCUUCCCUCACUGAAAUUCAGUUUUCCCUUCAAAGUCUCAAAGUGUAUAAUCCACAUUUUACACACACAUGUACAAACGCAGCAUGUUAAAUGAGACUUAGUUAAAAAAAGAAGAGAUUAUGAAAGAAAGGAAAAAUGCAAACCCUCAAACUCAUUCUGGUGGUCCCAUGGUUUAAAGAUUGGGUGACAUCUCCUUUCUCAGUAGACCUGCUCCUUUAUAGGAGUGGGCCUUGCUCUUAUAAAAGAUUUAAGGAAUUGUUCACCUAAAAAUUAAGAUUCUGUCAUCAUUUACUCACUCACUGUGUUACUUUCAUCAUAAUAUAAAAAGAGGUAUUAGUGAAUCCACGGAUCUGGUCCCCAAUCACUUCAUUCAAUUUCAUUUUAUAAUCUUAAAGUGAUAGUUCACCCAGAAAUGAAAAUUCUGUCACCAUUUACUCACCCUUAUGUAAUUUCAAACCCGUUUGACUUUCAAGCUUUUUUGUAAAAUGUUGUUAACUGGCACCCAUUCACUUGGAUUUGUUUCGUGUCCAUACAAUAGAAGUGAAUGGGUGACGGCACUUUUCAGUUACCAGCUUUCUUCAAAAUAUCUUCUUUUGUGUUCUGCCGAAGAAAAAAGUCAUACAGGUUCAAAACGAUGACGAAAUUUUCAUUUUUGGGUGAACUAUCUCUUUAAAGCAUUCCACUAAAUUCUCCUUAAUGUUCAGUGCAGAGAAAAGGCCACACAGAUUUGAAAUAAUUUAUAACAUGAGGGUGAGUAAAUAGUUUUUACAAGCCAAUAAUUUCUUUUACUGUAUUUACCAGUUGUGGAUACAACAGUCCCUAUUUUUUUAUCCCAUCAGGAUAAACAGGAAAAAUGAGGAUAACAGUCACAGUUUGUGACACGACCCCAAGAUUGUAAAUUGGAAGAUGAAAGUUGGGAAGAACAUUUUUAAGGCCAUUUGUUUAGGGUCACGUGCAGAUUUCUUGUACAUUAUCUUUGAUUAACGCAGGUAUAAAUAAAGAAAUUGUUUCCAGGCAAACGUGCACUCUGAGGAAUGGUAAUGUGUAAAUGGGUUAGUUCAUUUUAAGAGAGGUGACACUUCACACACUCUCACAUUCACACUUCUUUGUAUCUUGCAGGGCGGCAUGUGUGCUUAGACAGCAGGAUGUAAAGAGAACAGGUGUGGCGCCCAUAGGUCCUUUUUUUACCAUAUGUACACAGGUAAGGCCAUGGGGCAUGAUGUCACACAAAGUGUCACAUCCAAACACCUUACACACUCUCUCUCUCUCUCUCUCUCUCUCUCUCUCUCUCUCUCUCUCUCUCUCUCUCUCUCUCGCACUCUCUGUGUCCUGCUCUCAAGUUCAAUUUAAGUGUGUUUUUUGUCAUGACCAAAAAAUUGUACAUUUGUAUUGCCAAAGCAUUUUCAGCUGUGCUGUAUACAAUUAGUCUACAUGUGUAUUCCAAAAAAUGUGGAAUACACUUAAACGUAUGCACUGCAGUUAAAUAAAUGAAAAAGCAAACUCUCUCUCUCUCUCUCAUAUGAAGCAUUUGCAUUAUUAUUAAUUUGUUCGAUUUUUUAAAUAUUGUCAUUAUUUGAUUUUUAAAUAUAUUUUUGUUAUUUUUUUAUGAAAAUGAUUUGUGUACCUCCUCAUACUUCAAUAAGAUUGAUUUCCAGCUUCAUGAUUUUAUGUAAUUCUGAUUAAAUAAAAUUUUUGAA